AACGCACAUUGCGCCCGCCGGUAUUCCGGCGGGCAUGCCUGUUCGAGCGUCAUUUCAACCCUCAAGCCCAGCUUGGUGUUGGGGCACCCGGUCGCCUGGCGGCCCGGGGCCCUCAAGUGUAUCGGCGGUCUCGUCGGGACUCUGAGCGCAGUAACUCGCGGUAAAACGCGCCUCGCUUGGUCUGUCUCCGGCGGGCUCCAGCCGCUAAAAACCCUCUCUCCCAGAGUUGACCUCGGAUCAGGUAGGAUUACCCGCUGAACUUAA
rnacentral:misc_RNA from 1 species